CAUUCUUGCAACAACAAGGGAUUCAAGCCAAGGUUAUUCCAGGCAUUACAGCUGCUUCCGGAAUAGCAGCAGAAUUGAGAAUUCCAUUAACCCACCGGGGUGUUGCAAGUAGUGUUAGAUUUCUCACAAGGCACUCAAGAAAAGGAGGUACUGAUCCUCUGUAUGUGGCAGAGAAUGCAGCAGAUCCUGAUUCAACCUUGCCUCCCAUCUCUUGCUCAGAAGUUGAUGGAUCACGGUCUACCAUCUGAUAAACCUGCUGCUGCAAUAGAACGAGGGACUACCCCUCAACAACAAGUGGUAUUUGCAGAACUUAAGGAUCUCAUCGAUGAAGUUACAUCAGCAAACUUGGUUUCACCAACCCUAAUCAUUAUUGGGAAGGUUGUCGCACUCUCACCGUUCUGGCCUCACUAUUCAAAAGAAUCAGCUAUUUUGAUGGAGACUUAGUUGUCAAGUUCA